AAUAACCAACCUCUCACUCGGAUCGUUUGGCACGUACCUGUCAAUGAAAGGAUAAAAUU
rfam:Alloscardovia omnicolens F0580 genomic scaffold Scaffold46, whole genome shotgun sequence.